rnacentral:rRNA from 1 species
GACGAACGCUGGCGCCGUGCCUACUACAUGCAAGUAGCACGCAGUUGCGAACGGCUGAGUAACGCGUUGGUAACUUCCGGGGAGCGGGGGAUAACUAUUUGAAACGAUAGCUAAGACCUAAUACUACCAGAAGGACCUGCGAUGUAUUAGCUAGUUGGUGAGGCAACGUCUCACCAAGGCAACGAUACAUAGCCGACCUGAGAGGGUGACAGGCUACACUGGGACUGAGACAGGGCCCAGAUUCCUACGGGAGGCAGCAGUAGGUAAGCGUCGGCAAUGGGGGUAACCCUGACCGAGCAACGACGCGUGAGUGAAGAAGUUUUUCGGAUCGUAAAGCUCUGUUGUUAAGGAAGCGGUACUUAACCAGAAAGGGACGGCAAGCUACGCGCCAGCAGCCGCGGUAAUUC